GGUUAGAUAUGUACUGUCCUGUCCCACAAUUUUCAUAUCAAAGCUAAUAAUAUCCUGAAGAAAAUAGUGAAUAAAUCUAACAGGGACUAUUGAAGAUUUGUAAAAGUUUGUAUUUUACACACAAGUAGCAGGAAAAGUCUGUAUCUGGUGAUGAAUCUGAAAAAGAUGAUAUGACGUGAACAUACUGGUACAUGAAGUAAACAGAAAAGAAUGAGUGACAAAAACAAAAAAAAUAAAUUUAGACUAAAGCAGGAAAUACAUUGUUCGUAUUUACGUUAAGGUAGCAUGGAGAUCUAUCCUUAAUGUGUGAACCUUUAACAAGAUGGUUAGUG
rnacentral:lncRNA from 1 species